GGGUUUUAAAAGGUGUUAGGCGCAGGGCGGUUCUGUAAGUCAGAUGUGAAAUCCCCGGGGCUUAACCUGGGAACUGCGUUUGAAACUGCAGAGCUAGAGUGCGGCAGAGGGAGGUGGAAUUCCAUGUGUAGCAGUGAAAUGCGUAGAGAUAUGGAAGAACAUCGAUGGCGAAGGCAACCUCCUGGGCUAGCACUGACGCUCAUGCACGAAAGCGUGGGGAGCAAACAGGAUUAGAUACCCUGGUAGUCCACGCCCUAAACUAUGUCAACUAGUUGUCGGGUCUUAAUAGACUUGGUAACGUAGCUAACGCGUGAAGUUGACCGCCUGGGGAGUACGGUCGCAAGAUUAAAACU
rnacentral:rRNA from 1 species